CCUAUGGACUGUUAUAUCAAACCCAAGUAGUACCUUCGAAAGGAGAUAGCAAAAGGGGACAGGUUGAAAUAGGAA
rnacentral:ncRNA from 1 species